rnacentral:rRNA from 1 species
UGGGGAAUUUUGGACAAUGGGGGAAACCCUGAUCCAGCCAUCCCGCGUGUGCGAUGAAGGCCUUCGGGUUGUAAAGCACUUUUGGCAGGAAAGAAACGUCAUGGGUUAAUACCCCGUGAAACUGACGGUACCUGCAGAAUAAGCACCGGCUAACUACGUGCCAGCAGCCGCGGUAAUACGUAGGGUGCAAGCGUUAAUCGGAAUUACUGGGCGUAAAGCGUGCGCAGGCGGUUCGGAAAGAAAGAUGUGAAAUCCCAGAGCUCAACUUUGGAACUGCAUUUUUAACUACCGGGCUAGAGUGUGUCAGAGGGAGGUGGAAUUCCGCGUGUAGCAGUGAAAUGCGUAGAUAUGCGGUGGAACACCGAUGGCGAAGGCAGCCUCCUGGGAUAACACUGACGCUCAUGCACGAAAGCGUGGGGAGCAAACAGG